rnacentral:rRNA from 1 species
GAUGAACGCUGGCGGCGUGCUUAACACAUGCAAGUCGAACGAAGCACUUUAUCUUUGAUUCUUCGGAUGAAGAGGUUUGUGACUGAGUGGCGGACGGGUGAGUAACGCGUGGGUAACCUGCCUCAUACAGGGGGAUAACAGUUAGAAAUGACUGCUAAUACCGCAUAAGACCACAGAGCCGCAUGGCUCCGUGGGAAAAACUCCGGUGGUUAUGGAUGGGCAUGCGUUGUAUUAGCUGGUUGGUGAGGUAACGGCUCACCAAGGCAACGAUACAUAGGGGGACUGAGAGGUUAACCCCCCACAUUGGUACUGAGAUACGGCCCAGACUCCUACGGGAGGCAGCAGUGGGGAAUAUUGGGCAAUGGGCGCAAGCCUGACCCAGCAACGCCGCGUGAAGGAAGAAGGCUUUCGGGUUGUAAACUUCUUUUGUCAGGGACGAGUAGAAGACGGUACCUGACGAAUAAGCCACGGCUAACUACGUG